rnacentral:rRNA from 1 species
GGGUCCGCACAAGCGGUGGAGCAUGUGGUUUAAUUCGAUAAUACGCGAGGAACCUUACCUAGGCUAGAAUGCGAGUGAUAUCCAGAGAGAUCUGGAGUUCUUCGGACACAAAGCAAGGUGCUGCAUGGUUGUCGUCAGCUCGUGCCGUGAGGUGUUGGGUUAAGUCCCGCAACGAGCGCAACCCCUAUUUCUAGUUGCCAGCAAGUAAUGUUGGGGACUCUAGAAAGACUGCCUGCGUAAGCAGAGAGGAAGGAGGGGACGACGUCAAAUCAGCAUGGCCCUUAUGCCUAGGGCUACACACGUGCUACAAUGGCGUAUACAAAGGGUAGCGAACCAGCGAUGGUAAGCCAAUCUCUAAAAGUACGUCUCAGUUCGGAUUGAAGUCUGCAACUCGACUUCAUGAAGCUGGAAUCGCUAGUAA